UAAUUAGUGUUUAGGGUGGCUAAAUUAUCUUGAAUUAAUAAUUUUUGCUCAAAAUUAUCAAGGCCAAUUACCUUUUGACUUGGCUAUGUUCAAUAAUUCACCGGUUUCUGAUCAAGGAAGUGUGCCAACAUAUGAAACAAAUUCUCAACGUGAAAUGGGGUGUGGGUGAUAGCUUAAAAGCACAUUAAUUAAUUUGUAGUUGAUUUGUGCUUCAUUUUUUGAAGAUAAAAACUGUGUGCUAGUUUAUUUUGAGUAAUUUGUAGUCUAUUUCUUCUUUUAGGAGUGACUUCAUGAGAAUACUCCUUUAUUACUAUUAUGCUACAUUAUGUUAAUUUUAAGCUUCAUACCUUAUGCUAGAAAUAUAAAUUUAGUUUAUAUUUA